rnacentral:rRNA from 1 species
GGCGCAGCCUGGAUCUGCCAUGCCGCGGUGAGUGACGAAGGUCUUAGGAUCGUAAAGCUCUUUCGCCUGUGAUGAUAAUGACAGUAGCAGGUAAAGAAACCCCGGCUAACUCCGUGCCAGCAGCCGCGGUAAUACGA